rnacentral:misc_RNA from 1 species
GAGAGCUGCAGGCACACACAAACUAUCUACAUAUAUGAGAAACCUAACUAGAGAUGUGCACGGCAGCAGCGGCAGCAGCAGCAGCCGCAGUGGCUGUCACAUACCGGCAGCAGUCAAAGUAGAACUCUGCAUCAGGAUGUACGUCUCCAGUUGAGAUGAAUUUACACGGAUAAUAUGCCACAGAAUCAUUUUGACAUUUUGUGAUUACAACUGCAACAGAAAAGAAUAUGCUGCUUUCACUUUGUGUGUUACUCUCAUUCCUAUCCAAAAUUCUUUGUGUAGAUCUUGUUUACCAUGUGGAGGAAGGCAGGAGUCAUUCUACAUAUAUCGGAAAUAUUGCGACAAAUACGAAAUUGCUGGACAAUGUACAAAUGAAAGACCGCAAUAAGGUGUGGUUUAGCAUAAUACAACAGAGUGGUACCGCUGAUAAACAAUUAUUCAAUGUUUCUAAAAAUGGAAAACUUUAUACAGCUCAGGUAUUGGAUGCAGAAUCUCUUUGUUCAUAUGCCAAAGAAUGUUUCAAAACAAUCAAAAUUGCUGUCCGUCAAGCAAAGACUUUUAUGAAGAUUUUAAAGAUAAAAAUUGUCAUCGAUGAUGUUAAUGACCAUCAACCAGAAUUCCCAUUAACACAAGUUAGUAUCCAGUUUUCAGAAAGAGAUGGCAGAGGAACCAAAAUUUCAGUUCCAAAUGCCAUAGACAAAGAUGUAGGUGUUCUUAAUUCCCAGAUUACAUAUCAACUUGAAAAGAGUUCUGACGAACCAUUUGCUUUAUUAUAUUCCAAGAGAAUUGAUGGAACCAGUAAAUUAGAAAUUAUUUUAGAAGAAAAACUUGAUCGAGAAGCAAAAGACCGAUAUGUUUUGGAAGUUAUUGCAAGAGAUGGAGGAUCACCUGUCAAACAAAGCAUUUUGACUGUAUAUAUAGCAGUUGCUGAUGAAAAUGACAACUCCCCAAUUUUUUCACAGAAUGUUUAUAACAUCUCCAUAAGAAACAGACACCAAAAAUCUAUUCCUGUAACAACUCUAUUCGCUAAUGAUUUGGACUCAGGUAAAAAUGGCAAAAUAGUUUACCAUUUUAGUUCAAAAACUUCAGAUGUUGCAAAAUAUCAGUUUAUUUUAAAUCAAGUAACUGGGGAGAUAUUUCUUAGCAAUGAAUUUGAUUUUAAUGAGAAAGUCACUUACAUGCUUUUUGUUGAAGCAACUGACAAAGGAAGUCCUCCCUUAAGUUCCAUUGCUCUCGUUCUGGUAAAUGUUAUUAAUGACCGCAAUAACCAACCAAAAAUUGAUGUCAACUUUGUCUCUGCUCUUGAUGAAAACACUGCUGUAAUAACUGAGGACACUAAAGUUGGCAGUUUUAUUGCAUAUGUAAUGAUUACUGAUGAUGAUAUUGGGCAAAAUGGCAAAGUUAGUUGUAAUUUACAACACGAUAAAUUCCAGCUUUUAACUAUGAAUUCUAAAGAGUUCAAAAUCAUAGUUAAAAAUCCAGUUGAUCGAGAAAAGGAAGAUCAUUACCAAAUUGUAAUUGUGUGCUCUGAUAAAGGAUUCCCUCCUCAAAAGACUGAAAGAGCUUUUUCCAUCCAAGUGACUGAUGUCAAUGAUGUACAGCCUCAGUUUACUAAAAAUACAUUCAAAUUUCUCACUUAUGAAAAUGAGGAACCCAAUUUCCCUGUCGGAUUCAUCAACGCAACUGAUGAAGAUCUUGGACUUGGAAAACGAUUGACUUUUUCUCUGCAAAAUUCAAAUGAUGCAUCCCUUCCUUUUAAGAUAACUGAUAAUGGAUUUAUUUCCACAACACAAUCACUAGAUCGUGAAAGGCAGGAUAUAUACAAAUUUCAAGUGUGGGUGAGAGAUAAUGGAGUACCGUCGCUAAGUAAUAAAGCAAAUGUUAUUGUUGAAGUCAUGGACGAAAAUGACAAUGCUCCUCAUUUCAUUUUCCCAAGUGUUAACCCAUUUAGUCUAGAUGUCUACUAUCAUCCAAACAGUAGAAAUAACAUCUCAGUAUUGAAAGUUGCUGACAGAGAUAGCCCAAGAAAUGCUUUUUUCAAAUAUGAAAUAGUUAAAGGAAAUGAAAAACGAUUGUUUACAAUUGAUUCAUACACAGGUGUGUUGUCUUUCUCUCGUACAGUGUACCAGAAUGAUGCUGGCUUGUAUAAACUACAGUGUGCAGUCAGAGAUAGUGGCACUCCUGUUUUAACUGCGACCACCAAUUUAUCUUUAACAUUGAUAGUUAGCAAUAAAACAUUGAAAAUGAUGAAAGACGAACACAUACUUUUGGAUAACAGAAUACAUGUUAAUUUGGUAAUACUAAUAACUUUGGCAUCUGUUAUUGUAUCAGUUGUUGUUGUCGUUUCUAUAACAGCAUGCAUUGUCAGAUGUCAUAAGAGAAAUGCUCUGCACAUGACUGCAGUAGAUACAUCAAAUCGGUCUUUUAGAGAAAAGAGACACUUAAUCUCUCAAACGAACAAUUCUGCUGUCAUAACAGGAAAUUCAGAUGAGAUGAGAAAUAGAAAUAUUCAGCUGAUGAGGUCAAGAAGUCAGCUUUUCACUGAAGAGGAAUUACAGUAUGAUUGGAAAACAUCUACUAUAACCAGAAAGCUGCCAACACCUACACAGGAUAGAAAAAAUUUGGAGAGCACAGAUUUGUUUGACAUUCUUGCCGCUUGAAAAUGAGGCUUGGAAUGAAAGAAAGUUGUGAAGCAGGAGAAAUCUAAGAUCAAAAAUGAUUCUUCACAUUGCCAGCAACAUGUUUGUCUCUUACGACCAGAAGCAACUCAGAAAUACAAAUCUAUGCUUCCCAUAACAUGUAAUGGACUCCGGAAACA